rnacentral:ncRNA from 1 species
UUCAGGGCGGGGCGCAAUUCCCCGACCGGCGGUGAUUGAACCUUGUUUUCAUAAGCCCGCGAGCCCGUUUUAAGGGCAGAAGCAGUUAAAUUCUGCUGCCGACGGUACAGUCCGGAUGAAAGAAGC